CCCUCUGGUGACUGAUGCAAUAGAAUGAGCUCCAUCAGCAAGAGAGAUGGUUUUCCAGGAAGCUGCCUUGGUACCAUCUCUGACACCAUGAGAUGCAAUACCAAUAAUCAACCAGUAGAUGUCAGAACAGACCACAACUUGCAAAGAGAAGCUUGCUCUUGGAAAUGCUAGGCAAUGCACUUUAGAGCCCGGCUGCCUCUGAGUAGUGCCGUCAGCAGGUGGAAGCAGCAGGAGGAGCAGCUGAGGCAGCCCAGCCUCACACUUCUGCUUUCUGGAUCCUCUGAUGCUGAUUCUGGAUGGGAGCUCAUGUUGGAAAAAGUUUGCAGGAUACAUCAGGAAAUUGGAGCUUUCCCUGCUUCCUAUUGAUAUCAGUGUCAAAUAACUAAGGCUCUGACUUUCCUGGUGGGACACUGUGAUUCCGUCUCCUUAAGCUGUAGACCUGGAUUGUGAUUAUCUAUAUUCAGAUUUGGUGUUCCUUGGAUUUACACACUGUAGCUCCUCCUCUGUAUUCUUUAGUAAUCAGAUCAAUGUCUUCAGAAAGAGAGGUCCCUUCUCUGCCAAAACGCCUCAUUGAUAUCCUUGGAUCUACAAUUGUUUUUCUUCAUUUAUGGAGAAUUUCUACUAAAUUCUUCCUCUAUUUAUGAAGACUGUGUAAUCUGGGUGUUACAUCUGGUAUCUGAGAUUGGAAACAUACAAACAAAUAUCCACAUACUGAACCUUGUUAUGAGAGAAUGCAUUUAUAGACCAAGUACAUCGGAUCCCACUGUGCUGGAAAACUCCUCAAGUGUUGAAACUUCCUGCUUUAAAAUAAAAGUAGCUGGGUGCCCAGGAGUUGUAUGGGCACCCUUAUGUCCA